GUGGGGAAUAUUGGACAAUGGGCGCAAGCCUGAUCCAGCCAUGCCGCGUGAGUGAUGACGGCCUUAGGGUUGUAAAGCUCUUUCGCCAGGGACGAUAAUGACGGUACCUGGAUAAGAAGCCCCGGCUAACUUCGUGCCAGCAGCCGCGGUAAUACGAAGGGGGCUAGCGUUGUUCGGAAUCACUGGGCGUAAAGCGCACGUAGGCGGAUCUUUAAGUCAGGGGUGAAAUCCCGAGGCUCAACCUCGGAACUGCCUUUGAUACUGGGGAUCUCGAGUUCGGGAGAGGUGAGUGGAACUGCGAGUGUAGAGGUGAAAUUCGUAGAUAUUCGCAAGAACACCAGUGGCGAAGGCGGCUCACUGGCCCGAUACUGACGCUGAGGUGCGAAAGCGUGGGGAGCAAACAGGAUUAGAAACCCCUGUAGUCC
rnacentral:rRNA from 1 species